CGGAAAGCCUGACGCAGCAACGCCGCGUGCAGGAUGACGGCCUUCGGGUUGUAAACCGCUUUCAGCAGGGACGAAUUUUGACGGUACCUGCAGAAGAACGCCCCGGCCAACUACGUGCCAGCAGCCGCGGUAACACGGUAGGGGCGAGCGUUGUCCGGAUUUAUUGGGCGUAAAGAGCUCGUAGGCGGCUCGGUAAGUCAACUGUGAAAGCUCCGGGCUCAACUCGGAGAGGCCAGUUGAUACUGCUGUGGCUAGAGUCCGGUAGGGGAGCGUGGAAUUCCUGGUGUAGCGGUGAAAUGCGCAGAUAUCAGGAGGAACACCAGCGGCGAAGGCGGCGCUCUGGGCCGGAACUGACGCUGAGGAGCGAAAGCGUGGGUAGCAAACAGGAUUAGAUACCCUGGUAGUCCACGCCGUAAACGUUGGGCACUAGGUGUGGGUCUCAACCAACGAGAUCCGUGCCGUAGCUAACGCACUAAGUCGCCCCGCCGUGGGGAGUACGGCCGACAAGGACU
rnacentral:rRNA from 1 species